AGGAAAACUGAACUGUCAAUCCCAUCUGCAAGUGCCAAAGUCACUCCUGCUAAGGUAAUCCGUACAACUCUCCUGAUGUGUUUUGACUGCCAGGAUAUAGGUGAGAAUUUUCCAUUUUCUCCCAUAAGAAUGAUGAAAUGUCCACCCUGUGUCCCACCAUCUGGAAGGUUUCCCAUUGAGGAAUCACUGUACACCACUAAUUUAUUAGAACUGCCUUUCCCUAGACAAGUCUUUCCCUUUUGCCUCUAAUAUCUUCCCUUUAUAGUUCCCUCUGUUUCUCUGUCUGUUGUCAGAAGGUUGUUACUCGUACCGAUAGCUCCGCUCUUCUAGUUUGUCAGUGUACUCACCUUGUCGUGUCUUGUCAUCAGGCUCCAGUGCUCGUAGCUGUUAAUCUCUAUCUCCUUUCAUGUGAACGCAGUUUCCUAAGAAGUCUUCCAGCUCUCAUCAUUACCCUGGUCUCGGCUGUCGAGCAAGCAGUCGCUCGGGUUAGCGUUCCGACCCACCGCCCUCCCCUCUCCGGUCGUUGUUUCGGCUGAUGUCAGUCGCCGCUGUCCUCUUCCUCUCUCGAUCAGGAUGUUUUUAAGUUGCCCCCUGUGCAACUUAGAUUAUAAAAAUCUAAGUCAGCACCUCAAAGUGACCCACCAGGUCAAAAACGGGGAGGAACUGAGGCUCCUGCUUGCAUACAGCUCGGGGAGGUUCAAAGGUAAUGAGGACCUGGUGUGUCAAAUUUGUGAUUUGCCCUGCAAAAGGCUGGAUCGUCAUCUGGCGAUCGUUCACAAACUCGAUACAUCAGACCUUCAAGAUGAACAGAUCCGUUCCAAAAGAAAAGUAAUUUUGAAAAAAUUACAUCAGCUUAAAAGCAGUAAUGCAAAUCCCCCACUUGUGACCAAGCCUGAAGAGCUUGGUAAAGCGGUGGACACAAGUGGGGGGGGGCGCAGCCUAAUCCACUAGAGGAUGAUGAUAAAGACAAUGUGCCCAGAGAUACUGGCAAAAAGCUUAAAAAGGCACUUGAGGAAAACAAAGACUUGAAACUACAAAUAGCUGUCUUACGCCAGAGAAUAAAGACACUUGAAAGUCGGCUGACUGUUCA
ensembl:lncRNA